AGGCGACUGAAUUUGUUCCGAUAAAUUAAGCGGAAAAUUGAUUAAUUUUAUAUCGGUAUGAGGUUGAAUUGAUCGAAAUUAAGUUUCAAUGCUGAUGGUGUUGUUAACUACAGAGCGAUCAGUUCGUCGCAAUUACUUUCGAUUACAUUAAUUUGGAUGUCACCAAAGUAGCCUACGGUAACGAUUUUCUACUAUUAUUUACACUAUGUCUAAAAUAAAUUCCCAAAUACGAUUUUA